AAACUGGGAUUAGAUACCCCACUAUGCCCAGCCGUAAACUUUUAUUUACAUCCAAAUCGCCCGGGAACUACGAGCUAAGCUUAAAACCCAAAGGACUUGACGGUACCCCAUAUCCCCCUAGAGGAGCCUGUCCUAUAAUCGAUAAUCCACGUUUAACCUCACCGCUUCUAGUUAAUCAGCCUGUAUACCUCCGUCGUCAGCUUACCACGUGAGCGUAAAUUAGUGAGCCCAAUGUUAUUUCACCAACACGUCAGGUCAAGGUGCAGCAAAUGAAGUGGGAAGAGAUGGGCUACACUUUCUAUUUUAGAAGAAACGAAAAACUACUUAUGAAACCUAGUUAGAAGGCGGAUUUAGCAGUAAAAAGAAAUCAGCAUGUUCAUUUUAACCCGGCACUGGGGUGUGUACACACCGCCCGUCACCCUCUGCAGUCAA
rnacentral:rRNA from 2 species